UACAGAGGGUGCGAGCGUUAAUCGGAAUUACUGGGCGUAAAGCGUGCGCAGGCGGUUAUGCAAGACAGAUGUGAAAUCCCCGGGCUCAACCUGGGAACUGCAUUUGUGACUGCAUGGCUGGAGUGCGGCAGAGGGGGAUGGAAUUCCGCGUGUAGCAGUGAAAUGCGUAGAUAUGCGGAGGAACACCGAUGGCGAAGGCAAUCCCCUGGGCCUGUCCUGACGCUGAGGCGCGAAAGCUAGGGGAGCGAACAGG
rnacentral:rRNA from 1 species